rnacentral:rRNA from 1 species
CUACGGGCCGCAGCAGUGAGGAAUAUUGCACAAUGGGGGGAACCCUGAUGCAGCAACGCCGCGUGGAGGAUGACGCAUUUCGGUGUGUAAACUCCUUUUAUAUGUCAAGAAAAUGACGGUAGCAUAUGAAUAAGCACCGGCUAACUCCGUGCCAGCAGCCGCGGUAAUACGGAGGGUGCAAGCGUUACUCGGAAUCACUGGGCGUAAAGGACGCGUAGGCGGGUUGGAAAGCCAGGUGUGAAAUCCUACAGCUUAACUGUAGAACUGCACUUGAAACUUCUAAUCUAGAGUAUGGGAGGGGGAGAUGGAAUUAGUGGUGUAGGGGUAAUAUCCGUAGAUAUCACUAGGAAUACCUAAAGCGAAGGCGAUCUCCUGGAACAUUACUGACGCUAAGGCGUGAAAGCGUGGGGAGCAAACAGGAUUAGAUACCCUUGUAGUC